GGGAGGUUAGCUCAGCCGGUUAGAGCGCCUGCUUUACACGCAGGAUGUCACGGGUUCGAGUCCUGUACCUCCCACCA
rnacentral:tRNA from 1 species